UGCAUCCUACGGGGCGCAGCAGUCGAGAAUCAUUCACAAUGGGGGAAACCCUGAUGGUGCGACGCCGCGUGGGGGAAUGAAGGUCUUCGGAUUGUAAACCCCUGUCAUGUGGGAGCAAAUUAAAACGAUAGUACCACAAGAGGAAGAGACGGCUAACUCUGUGCCAGCAGCCGCGGUAAUACAGAGGUCUCAAGCGUUGUUCGGAAUCACUGGGCGUAAAGCGUGCGUAGGCUGUUUCGUAAGUCGUGUGUGAAAGGCGCGGGCUCACCCCGCGGGCGGCACAUGAUACUGCGA
rnacentral:rRNA from 1 species